rnacentral:rRNA from 1 species
UACGUAGGGGGCAAGCGUUGUCCGGAUUUAUUGGGCGUAAAGAGCGUGUAGGCGGCCAGGUAGGUCUGCUGUGAAAACUCGAGGCUUAACCUCGAGCUGUCGGCGGAAACCAUCUGGCUAGAGUCCGGAAGAGGAGAAUGGAAUUCCCGGUGUAAGCGGUGAAAUGCGCAGAUAUCGGGAAGAACACCCGUGGCGGAAAGGCGGCCUCUCUGGGACGGUACUGACGCUGAGACGCGAAAGCGUGGGGAGCGAACAGG